GAGUUUGAUCCUGGCUCAGGACGAACGCUGGCGGCAUGCCUAAUACAUGCAAGUCGAACGCUGAAGCACUCUGCUUGCAGAGUGUGGAUGAGUGGCGAACGGGUGAGUAACACGUGGGGAACCUACCCAUGAGAGGGGGAUAACAUCCGGAAACGGGUGCUAAUACCGCAUAGGUGUCAGAAACGCAUGUUUCAGACAUUAAAGAUGGCUUCGGCUAUCGCUCAUGGAUGGCCCCGCGGCGGAUUAGCUAGUUGGUGGGGUAAAGGCCUACCAAGGCGACGAUCCAUAGCUGGUCUGAGAGGAUGAUCAGCCACAUUGGGACUGAGACACGGCCCAAACUCCUACGGGAGGCAGCAGUGGGGAAUAUUGGACAAUGGGCGCAAGCCUGAUCCAGCCAUGCCGCGUGAGUGAUGAAGGUCUUAGGAUUGUAAAGCUCUUUCACCGAUGAAGAUAAUGACUGUAGUCGGAGAAGAAGCCCCGGCUAACUUCGUGCCAGCAGCCGCGGUAAUACGUAGGGUGCGAGCGUUGUCCGGAAUUACUGGGCGUAAAGAGCUCGUAGGUGGUUUGUCGCGUCGUCUGUGAAAUCCCGGGGCUUAACCUCGGGCGUGCAGGCGAUACGGGCAUAACUUGAGUGCUGUAGGGGAGAAUGGAAUUCCUGGUGUAGCGGUGAAAUGCGCAGAUAUCAGGAGGAACACCAAUGGCGAAGGCAGGUCUCUGGGCAGUAACUGACGCUGAGGAGCGAAAGCAUGGGUAGCGAACAGGAUUAGAUACCCUGGUAGUCCAUGCCGUAAACGGUGGGCGCUAGGUGUAGGGGACUUCCACGUCUUCUGUGCCGCAGCUAACGCAUUAAGCGCCCCGCCUGGGGAGUACGGUCGCAAGACUGAAACUCAAAGG
rnacentral:rRNA from 1 species